rnacentral:ncRNA from 1 species
UGCAGUAAUGGGCAAAACCGUCGAAAGGCGGUGACGCAAAGCUACCGGUCUAAGGGCGAGUGCCUAGGACAGCGGGGUUGCCUGC